AGCGAACGCUGGCGGCAGGCCUAACACAUGCAAGUCGAACGAAGUCUUCGGACUUAGUGGCGGACGGGUGAGUAACACGUGGGAACGUACCUUUUGGUUCGGAACAACUCAGGGAAACUUGAGCUAAUACCGGAUGAGCCCUUAGGGGGAAAGAUUUAUCGCCGAAAGAGCGGCCCGCGUUAGAUUAGCUAGUUGGUGAGGUAAAGGCUCACCAAGGCUACGAUCUAUAGCUGGUCUGAGAGGAUGAUCAGCCACACUGGGACUGAGACACGGCCCAGACUCCUACGGGGGGCAGCAGUGGGGAAUCUUGCGCAAGGGGCGAAAGCCUGACGCAGCCAUGCCGCGUGAAUGAGGAAGGUCUUAGGAUUGUAAAAUUCUUUCACCGGGGAAGAUAAUGACGGUACCCGGAGAAGAAGCCCCGGCUACCUUCGUGCCAGCCGCCGCGGUAACAC
rnacentral:rRNA from 1 species